UAUUUCAAAAAGCUCACAAUAUAUUGCAAUUAAAACAUCUAACUGACGCUUGAGGUCAACGAACGUUCAAUAAAUCGGUCACUCGAAGUCAAUGCCGCUUCGUAGGUGUGGCAUUGGCCCGAGUUAUGCACGCUAUACAAUGCGGGUU